UUGUCGUUGAUACAAAUUAACACAUCAAAAUUAAAAUUUUAAAAUUAUUCUUGAUUAAAAUCACUCAGUUUAUUAUCAAAUUAAAAAAAAACAACACGCCUUUAGCAAGGUAACAGAAACACUUUAACAAUGUUUGUUGUACAACACGAUUAGAUAAAGGUAAAGUAAGUAGGUGUGAUCAAUCGGUUCAGUUUAACAGCAUUCAACAUCCAAUUUGAAAACAUGGCUUGUGGAUGCCUGUGCUGUCCUUUAUGGCUGCUUUUGUUGCUGACUGUGGCUUUCCCAAUUGCCUUUUUGAUGUCACCAAUUUACGUGAUCAUACUGACGUUCAGUGAAAUUUGCUGUGGAAACUGUGACAGCUGUGCCCAAUUUGUUCUCAAGUGCAUGAAACUGCCCGGCAUUUGUAUCCAUAAAAUGUAUCGAUGUGAAGGAUGUUAAUACGUAGAAUUUAAUUAAUAAAUUUAUAUUAAAAGAUAAUAUAA